rnacentral:rRNA from 1 species
GACGAACGCUGGCGGCGUGCCUAAUACAUGCAAGUCGAGCGGACCAACCAGGAGCUUGCUCUUGUUUCGUUAGCGGCGGACGGGUGAGUAACACGUGGGUAACCUGCCCGUAAGACCGGGAUAACUUCGGGAAACCGGAGCUAAUACCGGAUAACACCGUAAACCGCAUGGUCCUUGGUUGAAAGGCGGCUUUGCCUGCCACUUACGGUUGAUCCCGCGCGCAAUUACCUAGUGGGAAAGUAAACGGCUACCCAAGGAAACAAGCGUAAGCCGCCCUGAGAGGUGAAUCGCCCACAUGGGAACGGGACAAGGGCCAGGACCCCUCCGGAGGCAGCAGUAGGGAAUCUUUCGCCAUGGAGGGAAGUCUGAAGGAGCGACGCCGCGUGGGCGGAGGAGGUCUUCGGAUCGUAAAGCUCUGUUGUUAGGGAAGAAGAAGCGCCGUUCGAAAAGGGCGGCGUGGUGACGGUACCUAACGAGAAAGCCCCGGCUAACUACGUG